GCACAGAAAUGGACUAAGCAUUAGACAAAUCCGAUGAGAAUAACAAAUAUAACAUCAAAACCAAAUACAUGAAUUUGGGAUAGAAAAGUACCGUGAACGUUUAUAGUAAUGCGAAUUCACACUGAAAUAUAAGAGAAAACAACGGAAACACAACGUAAAAAUGUUACACACACAGAAACGAACUAUCAUAUAACAAUGGCCAUUUUUCUUACUUGGUACAGGACAUUUUUUAAGAAAAAAAUGGUGGGUUGAACCUGGUUUUGUGGCAUGCCCAACCUCACACUUUAAUGGCAAUGUUAAAUAUAACAUUAAAAUGACAACAUAAUAUUACAGGACUACAAUACAAAUAAAUAUGUGAACGUAGUAGGCAAAGAAACACAUGAAUAAUAGAUAACAAAAGGCAUCAGGUUUAAAAUUUAAUACGCCAAAAACGUUCCUCGUCACACAAGACUUACCAGUGACGC
rnacentral:lncRNA from 1 species